rnacentral:rRNA from 1 species
GAUGAACGCUGGCGGCGUGCCUAAUACAUGCAAGUCGAGCGAACAGAUAAGGAGCUUGCUCCUUUGACGUUAGCGGCGGACGGGUGAGUAACACGUGGGUAACCUACCUAUAAGACUGGGAUAACUUCGGGAAACCGGAGCUAAUACCGGAUAAUAUUUCGAACCGCAUGGUUCGAUAGUGAAAGAUGGUUUUGCUAUCACUUAUAGAUGGACCCGCGCCGUAUUAGCUAGUUGGUAAGGUAACGGCUUACCAAGGCGACGAUACGUAGCCGACCUGAGAGGGUGAUCGGCCACACUGGAACUGAGACACGGUCCAGACUCCUACGGGAGGCAGCAGUAGGGAAUCUUCCGCAAUGGGCGAAAGCCUGACGGAGCAACGCCGCGUGAGUGAUGAAGGUCUUCGGAUCGUAAAACUCUGUUAUUAGGGAAGAACAUAAGUGUAGGUAACUGUGCACGUCUUGACGGUACCUAAUCAAAAAGCCACGGCUAACUACGUG